rnacentral:rRNA from 1 species
UACGGAAGGCAGCAGUGGGGAAUAUUGGACAAUGGGCGCAAGCCUGAUCCAGCCAUGCCGCGUGUGUGAAGAAGGCCUUUUGGUUGUAAAGCACUUUAAGCGAGGAGGAGGCUCUCUUAGUUAAUACCUAAGAUGAGUGGACGUUACUCGCAGAAUAAGCACCGGCUAACUCUGUGCCAGCAGCCGCGGUAAUACAGAGGGUGCGAGCGUUAAUCGGAUUUUACUGGGCGUAAAGCGUGCGUAGGCGGCUUUUUUAAGUCGGAUGUGAAAUCCCCGAGCUUAACUUGGGAAUUGCAUUCGAUACUGGGAAGCUAGAGUAUGGGAGAGGAUGGUAAGAUUCCAGGUGUAGCGGUGAAAUGCGUAGAGAUCUGGAGGAAUACCGAUGGGCGAAGGCAGCCAUCUGGCCUAAUCUGACGCUGAGGUACGAAAGCAUGGGAGCAAACGAGGUAUUAGAC